rnacentral:lncRNA from 1 species
CAACAAUGGAAAAGCUACACGAGGAUGAAGAAGUGCGCAUAACAUUAUCUAUUAUAUAUAAAGAGAACACAAAAGGUGAAUAGUGUUUUGGUGUCAUAAUUCUUUACCAAAAUAAUUGGAUAAAAAUGCCCUCAAAACAAAAAACUUCAAAGCAUCCCAAAAUAAUGCAUCAAAUAAGGCAAGGGCAUUUUCGUCAUUUAAUAGUAUUUUUUUAAUAAUUAAUGAUUUUGUGGUUUUUUUUAAUUAGUACCUUACAAUAGGCUUGACACACCCCGACCGAAGUCAAGGCAUGAUGGCCGUCACGUGAGAGUGACGUAACCAUGUGCACAGUGGUGAAGCGAUAAAGAUAGCAAAUAUACAAAUAAUUAAAAACCACAUUAAUAUAGUGCACUAUUAGCAGGGAGUGAUAGGAGUUAGUUACAACCGUAAACACUCCUAAUCAGAGCAUAAAAAGUCUAGCUGCAGUCCAAUAGGACAAGUACUAGUUACACAGUACCAUAAAUGUCCUACUAUUAUUCAAUAGGUUAGAACUGUCGACGAUCCCAAGCCACCAAUAGCAAGCUUACUUAGAACCUGGAGGGGCACAAAACAGAAAACGUGAGUGGGCAAAAACAAAUGUUUUACAAAAACAUUUC